ACAUUUAGCGAGAGCUCGUUAGCGUAGGGGAAGUAGCAGUUCUCUGACCAAAAGCCCCCUCUAGCCUGAGUAAAGUAAUGAGGUAGUCAGUCGGACAGCUAAUUACACUUACCUUGAUUAAAAUAGACCGGCGUUGCCACAGUGAAAAUGGACCAGGAGUUUGAAGGCAUAGAUUCAGAGGGCCGGUGGCAAAAACUGUACCUAGAAAUCAGGAAUCAGUCCCACGAGUGCUCCUACAAAGUGGCAAAGUAUCCAGAGAAUAGGAACAGGAACAGAUACAGAGACGUCAGUCCAUUUGAUCACAGUCGAGUGAAGCUGGAGAACACAGAAAAUGACUACAUCAAUGCCAGUCUGGUAGUCAUGGAGGAAGCCCAGCGAAGUUACAUAUUGACUCAGGGCCCCCUCAGGAACACCUGUGGCCACUUUUGGCUCAUGAUCUGGGAGCAGAACACCAAGGCGGUCAUCAUGCUCAACAGGGUCAUAGAGAAGGGCUCAGAAAAGUGUGCCCAGUACUGGCCCACAGCUGAGGAAAGGGAGAUGGCAUUCAGAGACACACGUUUCUUGGUCACGCUGUUGUCAGAGGACACCAAGUCGUACUACACCACCAGAGUGUUGGAGCUGCAGAAUAUUAGUACAGGAGAGAAGAGAGAGAUCUACCACUUUCAUUACACCACGUGGCCUGAUUUCGGUGUCCCAGAGUCCCCGGCAUCCUUCCUAAACUUCCUCUUCAAAGUGCGGGAGUCAGGAGCAUUGGGGGUGGAUCACGGGCCGGCUGUGGUGCACUGCAGUGCAGGAAUCGGACGAUCAGGGACGUUUUCACUAGUUGACACGUGUGUGGUCCUGAUGGACAAGAGGAAAGACCCCUCAUCAGUGGACAUCAAAAGCAUCCUGUUGGACAUGAGGAAGUACCGCAUGGGCCUGAUCCAGACCCCUGACCAGCUGCGCUUCUCCUACAUGGCUGUCCUCGAAGGAGCCAAGUACAUCAAGGGUGACCCCUCUGUACAGAACCGGUGGCGGGAGCUGUCCAGGGAAGAUCAGGAACCGACGUCAGAGUCUCCCCCCUCAGCUCAGCCUCAGGCCAGGUGUCCGACGGAGCGAUGCAACGGCAACCAACGGGGAAGUCAGCUGGAGGAGGGAGGAGACUACAGACAGGAUGGCAAAGUACCUUCACAGUCUCCCUGCAAGGAACAGGAGCUGGAGGGCAGCACAACACACAAACGACGCAGAGAAGACAGUAUCUCCAAAUCAGGCACAGCCAAGACUCCACAAAGCAAGCCCAGGACAAAUGACUCUGAGAAGAAGAGAAAAAGCUUGGGCUGCAUUUGCUGCACAUGACAAGAGCUGGCCUGUCCAGUGGGGGGCAGUGUAUCUUUACCCCCCUCUGCGACAGCAACAACAACCACGAAGAGCACAUUUAAAGGACGAAGUUUAUCUGCUUUAAAAAGAACGCCCACUCUUGUACAUGGAGGGCGAAAACCAGCGACUGCUAACCACCUCCACCUGCGACCACGCACCGACAGCUCUGGCAUCAAAGCCAACAUCGGCAGGGAACUCCAGCCCUCUCCCAACCUCUGUGUCCUUCCUCCUCAACUCCAAACCACUCUUCCUCACCUCCACCUCAACAGCCAGCUCUGUUCUCUUCUUCAUCUCUUUGUUUUUUUUACCCCCCUUUUUGAUCCCAGCCCGGCGGCAUUAUUCAGCCACCACACACCUCCGUCUUCUUCUUCUUCCUGUUAUCGGCAUGUCACUCCCACGUCCGCCUCAGACCUCCACCUCACAGCUCUCCCGUGUGUCAUCCUCUCUAAACUGUUUACAGCAGACACUUUGACAUUCGUUGAAGACGGCACAUUUGCAAAGACAACCACACCAGCGCUUUAUCCCCAGGUCACACCUCAGCCACAGCCUGUGCUGCUUCUGGAGUCAGAGAAUCAGUUUUUCUGCUUUAAUCAUAUUAUUUGCAGCUCUAUUAUGCUUCUUUGCAUCCAUGAAAUCAAGACUGAUAAUAGAGUCUAUGCAUUGCCAAUUUGUAAUGCUGUUCAUAUGUUUAUUUUUAGAAAACAUUUUUUCAGAGGGGAAAAUUAAAAUGUUCUAUUUUUUAUAAGAGAUUACUUGAAGUUUUUCACGGUGAUGGGGGGUCGGUUGAAUGAGAAGCACUGCCUCCUCCCACAUGAGAAAUUCAGUGGCAUGUAAUGUUUCCAUGAUGUACAUAGUGUUGUUUUCAAAAAGAUGUGUGUAAAAAGACAUAUUUUUGCUGUAAAAAAAGAAAAAUGACAACAUUACUGAUUUGAAUACAGUAGAAAAGCUGAUGAUUUGACGACUUGUUCUCCUUUUGAGCUAAAUUUGUCUUAAGUUUAUGUUAGAGUGUUAUCUCCAAAUAAAACUGGUAUUAUCUAGUUUACGUAA